rnacentral:rRNA from 1 species
AACGAACGCUGGCGGCAGGCCUAACACAUGCAAGUCGAGCGAGGACUUCGGUCCUAGCGGCGGACGGGUGAGUAACGCGUGGGAACGUGCCCUUUGCUUCGGAAUAGCCCUGGGAAACUGGGAGUAAUACCGGAUGAGCCCUUUGGGGGAAAGAUUUAUCGGCGAAGGAUCGGCCCGCGUUGGAUUAGGUAGUUGGUGGGGUAAUGGCCUACCAAGCCGACGAUCCAUAGCUGGUUUGAGAGGAUGAUCAGCCACACUGGGACUGAGACACGGCCCAGACUCCCACGGGAGGCAGGCGUGGGGAAUCCUAGACAAAGGGGGAAACCCUGAUCGAGCCAUGCCGCGUGAGCGAUGAAGGCCUUAGGGUUGUAAAGCUCUUUCAGCUGGGAAGAUAAUGACGGUGCCAGCAGAAGAAGCCCCGGCUAACUCCGUG